UACGUAGGGGGCUAGCGUUGUCCGGAAUUACUGGGCGUAAAGGGCUCGUAGGCGGCCAACUAAGUCAGACGUGAAAUCCCCAGGCUCAACCUGGGAACUGCGUCUGAUACUGGAUGGCUUGAAUCCGGGAGAGGGAUGCAGAAUUCCAGGUGUAGCGGUGAAAUGCGUAGAUAUCUGGAGGAAUACCGGUGGCGAAGGCGGCAUCCUGGACCGGCAUUGACGCUGAGGAGCGAAAGCCAGGGGAGCAAACGGG
rnacentral:rRNA from 1 species